rnacentral:rRNA from 1 species
ACGGGUGCGUAACGCGUGGGAAUCUGCCCUUAGGUUCGGAAUAACAGUUGGAAACGACUGCUAAUACCGGAUGAUGACGCAAGUCCAAAGAUUUAUCGCCUGAGGAUGAGCCCGCGUAGGAUUAGCUAGUUGGUGUGGUAAGAGCGCACCAAGGCGACGAUCCUUAGCUGGUCUGAGAGGAUGAUCAGCCACACUGGGACUGAGACACGGCCCAGACUCCUACGGGAGGCAGCAGUGGGGAAUAUUGGACAAUGGGCGCAAGCCUGAUCCAGCAAUGCCGCGUGAGUGAUGAAGGCCUUAGGGUUGUAAAGCUCUUUUACCCGGGAUGAUAAUGACAGUACCGGGAGAAUAAGCUCCGGCUAACUCCGUGCCAGCAGCCGCGGUAAUACGGAGGGAGCUAGCGUUGUUCGGAAUUACUGGGCGUAAAGCGCACGUAGGCGGCUUUGUAAGUUAGAGGUGAAAGCCUGGAGCUCAACUCCAGAAUUGCCUUUAAGACUGCAUCGCUUGAAUCCAGGAGAGGUGAGUGGAAUUCCGAGUGUAGAGGUGAAAUUCGUAGA